ensembl:lncRNA
GUUUUCUCCUCUCUAUUCCCAGUAAGCUUCUGGUCGUUAAUUGAGGGACAUCUAUUAGUCUUUGGAUAAAAGUGGCAGUUUUAAUACCCAAGAAAAAGAUUCCGGGGUAGAUGUCCAACAGACGGUCUCGCUCUAGCGCGCGAAUUGGACGUAUGCCACUGCCGUAGCCCUACAGCCACAUGCAUACAGGGUCUGCUGUGCUGCUGAGUCUCGGUCAGUGUGUGACAUGCAUAACCUACUGGUGGCUGAGGAGGAGAUGAGUGUUUUUACCGGACACCGAUUCAAUUUCUGCCUAUAUUCAGUCUAGGUUUGAGACCGGACUGUGGGGGGGGGACGCGUUGUGCGCUUCGAGGAGGAAUUUGAGUUGAGUGGAAUUCUGAAUCAACUAAGGACUUGAAGACAAAUGACAAGAGGAAUGUAACCGAAGAAAGACGUUUAAAAUGGCACCAAUUGAGAUAAAGGAUCACCUUGUGCCCACCCCUCCUCCUCGUGUCAUCGAUGGCCAUCUGGCGUACACGGUGAGACGCCUCAUGAGUGUUCGACCACGGGGCAGGGGUUUCCAGUACCCGGUUGACUGGGACGGUUAUGGCCCGGGGGAGAGGUGCUGGGUCCCCGCUAGAGACAUCCUGGACCCAGCCCUCAUCGCCGAAUUCCACCGCCGGCACCCCGGUCAACCAGCUCCUGCUUUUCCCAGUCUCUCUUUUUCUCACCCUCCUGGCUUUGACCCUUGCCUGUCCUGACUCUGAGCCCACCUGCCUG